rnacentral:ncRNA from 2 species
AACUUAUCCAGAGUGGGGGAGGGAACUGGCCCAAAGAACCCCGGCAACCUGCAUAGAAGCAAGGUGCCAAAUCCAGCAAAAUGCAAGACAUUUUGAAAGAUAAGGU